rnacentral:rRNA from 1 species
AUGAUUCAAGAAGGCGUAAAAUGCCACGUCGGAAGACCCACCUUCCUUGAUGGCUUCUGCAGCCAUCUCUUUCGCCAUGGCCGCCCUCUCUCGAAGCUUUUGCCCUUCCUCCGACUCCAUUACCAGCCUCACCUUGGCAUGCACCUCCUCGGCCUUCACGGACGACUCCUCGUAGCCCUCCACCGCCACCCCGAUCUUCAUCUCCUCCACCAGGUGUAUCUUGUUCAGCCUCUGCUCCGCGUACAGCGGCCAGCAGAUCAUCGGCACGCCGGACAUGACCGCCUCCAGCGCCGAGUUCCACCCGCAGUGCGUCACGAACGCUCCCACGGCCUCGUGCCGCAGCACCUCCGCCUGUGGCGCCCAGUUCUUCAGAACCAAGCCCCUGUCCCCGGUUCUCUGCAAGAAACCAUCAGGAAGCAACGCCUCCAGAUCCGGCUCGCCGGACUUGCUCUGCUCCUCGCGUGGGCUACGCACGGCCCACAGGAACCGGUGGCCGGAGUUCUCUAA